rnacentral:lncRNA from 1 species
UUUUUUUUGGUUUUCGCGCCGGGAAGACCCGCAUUGGGAUAAAACGUUUCCUACCAAAGACGACUCCAUACCUAGGGCCUCGAAUCCAAAACUUCUGGUUAAUGAUUAAAGAGUACCUACCACUCCACCAUAGCCCUUGUUGGUAGCUUAAAUAAAUUUAAUAUUAUGUUUAAGUUCCUAAGAUCAAAUAUUGAGUUUUUUUAUCACCAGUCAACAAUGUAAAAGAAGUGGGAUUAACAAAGGGCAAAUGCUGUCCAUUAAUGAAAAAAAAAAGUUAGAUAAUAACUCAGAUUAACUGUCAAAUGUCAAUCAACCAAGUCCGCAUUAAAUUAGUUAAAUUCCCGUAUCACUAUUGCUCUAUUUAGAGUGAGCUCGUAUCCGACGGAUUUGGUCUAAAUUCACUAUAAUUAAAUGUAAUAAAUUGUCACACUUGGAACCAGCUAAAAAAAAAAAGCGGAAAUGAAGAGGCUCAAGAAAUUAGGAAAUGUACAAGUCAACUUUGUAUUGGUCAAAAUUUGGAUUGGACUUAAUAGCUGUAAAUGGACAUGGUCGAGAAUUAAGUCAACCACGGCAUGAAGGCGAAAAGUCGUCUUAAGAAAGAUUAGUGCCGAAACCGAGCAAAGGGGUAUGAAAAUAACGAUAGGAUAAGUUAGAUAGAAAGAAGGAAUAUUCCAUUGAAUAUCCUUUUUGUUGUACUUUUUUAGGAUUUCUCAAGAAUAUCCCCUAUAAAUAGGAAGAGAUAAAAAACAAAAAGGGGAUCUUCAUCUUUUGAUAAGAACACUUUGUAAAGGGUUGACUGAGGAGAAUAUACAAAAGCUUGUUCACUAUUAUAUUGUUCGAUUUACGUUGUUCAUUCACAAGAUCCAAAGUUUCCUUAUCCAUCUUCAUUUCCUAUCACCCCACAUUGUUGUCAGGGAGGAAAUCGUCCAAGUCACCUAACAUUUGGGUGAAAAUUCCUUCUUAUUGCGUUCAUUGUCAUUAUCUACAUUUAUUGUAUGCAUCUAUUACUACAUUCAUUGACAAUCAUUGGUCAUAUACUCGAUAUUUAUUAUUCUUGAACACGAUCUCAUCCCACUGAUAUUUUCCAAUUUUAGAUCUAGAAUUUAUUAUGUUUAACUAGGAUUCACUCUCUAUUUCCUUAUUAAUUAGUUUAACACUUUUUGGUCAAACAAACUUCAAAACAGCAAACCAGACGAGCUUCAUCUUCUUAUUUCCAGAGGCAUAUUUAGGUCUUAAGAAGAAUUCUUACAUUUUCUAGAUUGAGACAAAUUCAAGAUUUUAAGUCUUAGUUAUGUAGGGAUUAAUUAUAAAGGGAUUAAUAGCAUAUAAAUUAUUUUUUGUUGGGUGCAGGUUUGGUGCAGUGCACUAAAAUUGAAAAUACAAGAUAUAAUUUAAAAUUAGUAACUAUUUAUUUUUUAAAACUAAAAGGUAAUGAGUUCUCACGCCUAAAGUAGUUUUAUCCUUUUGGUGCUUUAUCCAGGUAUAAGUUAUAAGUACAACAAACAAUGUUUCCAAUAGAAACUCGGCUUCCUUCCCUCCAAGAACUCCCCACCUUGCUCUUGGGGUGACUCGAACUCACAACCUCUUGGUUGGAACUGGAGGUUACUUACCAUCGGAGAAACCCCUCUUGGUUGGAUUCAUGUUGAUUGCAAGAGUGUCAUUUCAAGUCGGAAUACUAAAGCCAGUCUGUAGUACUGAAUCUUGUACUAACCAGGAAAUGAUGCUGAUCAACAUGCAGGACAGAUGAGGUUUGAUGGAAUAUGGCUACAUCGAUCUUUCAUUUCAUUAACUUUUUUUAAGUCUUUUACUUCCCUGUACAUUCAUUUUCUUUUUCUUAUGGUGGGGAGCUGAUUUGUUUAAACAAAAAUGUUUCUGUAAUAAUACAAAUUUGCUUUAGAGAAAAAACAGAAUCUGGUCCAAAACUUAAGUACCCUUUAUAAUCGAACAAAUAAAUCCUCCGACAGGACAAGUAAAUGAUAAAAAGUAAGUUUCAUCAAUACAAAAAAAAACAUAAGAACAUCUUACAUACGACUCAUAUCAAUGAUGGUUUUAUGACUACAAGGGACAAAAUGAAGCAGAAAUUGAAGUGGUAAAAAAAAUAGUAAAGAAUCCCAGCUGACUCGCUGAUAACUAAUAUCGUUAAUACCAAAACAAGCAGUUCGAACAAAGUAAUGCUCCUAAGCGACAGCAGGCAUGUCCUUAAGCCAGGCAUCGAGCGGCUUACCAAUUGAGUAGACAAUAAAGCCAAUCUCUCUUAGCUUGUCAACGUUCACAACAUUCCUGCCAUCAAAAAUGAAAGCGGGUUUUUGCAUGUUUUCAUAUAUCCUCUGGUAAUCAAGGGUCUUGAACUC